rnacentral:rRNA from 1 species
UACGAAGGGGGCUAGCGUUGUUCGGAAUUACUGGGCGUAAAGCGCGCGCAGGCGGCUAUCCAAGUCAGUGGUGAAAGCCCGGAGCUCAACUCCGGAACUGCCAAUGAAACUGUUUAGCUUGAGUAUGAGAGAGGUGAGUGGAAUUCCCAGUGUAGAGGUGAAAUUCGUAGAUAUUGGGAAGAACACCGGUGGCGAAGGCGGCUCACUGGCUCAUUACUGACGCUCAGGCGCGACAGCGUGGGGAUCAAACAGG